GUGCCAGCCGCCGCGGUAAGACGGAGGAUGCAAGCGUUAUCCGGAAUGAUUGGGCGUAAAGCGUCCGCAGGUGGCAGUUCAAGUCUGCUGUCAAAGACCGGGGCUUAACUUCGGAAAGGCAGUGGAAACUGAACAGCUAGAGUAUGGUAGGGGCAGAGGGAAUUCCUGGUGUAGCGGUGAAAUGCGUAGAGAUCAGGAAGAACAUCGGUGGCGAAGGCGCUCUGCUGGACCAUAACUGACACUCAGGGACGAAAGCUAGGGGAGCGAAUGGGAUUAGA
rnacentral:rRNA from 1 species